AGUCUUACCAAAAAUAUCCAAGAACGGGUUCAAUACCCACAUGACCGAAACCGAAGUUCUCACCUUCAAGCCAAAUGGAACGCUCGAUAUACGUCUCCCCUCACAUCCAUCGUCUCCCUUUCGAUUCUGAAAACCAAAAGAAGCUUUGUCAUCAAUGUUGUUCAAGGAGCAUCGUUGGAAACUUAGCACCAGUGGGAAGUCGCUGGGAACUUGAAAGCAACAACGACGACAUGACCUAGUGGAACCGAAGUAGGUCGAGUGGCGGUUGGCCGGAUCUCUUGAAGGAGGAAUCAGAGGGAGCAAAGAUGGUUGUGGAUGGUUUGUUCAAGAAUCGAUUCAAUGAUGAUUUCAAGCCUGAGGAAUGAAGAAGAUUGAGUGGCGAAAAGGUGGACAUGUCAUGGUGACGAAUUGGAAUGCUAUGGACUAUGCUUAUGGUGAUUGUUUCAUGAAAAACGCAGGGCUUUGGAUCUAGCUUUGUAAUGUUGUAAUUUUUGUAACUCGUGUGGUUUGAAGUUGAGUUAGAGAUAUAUGUAAUGUAAUUGGAAUUUGGUUUAUGAUUGUAAUGAGAUAAUGGAAAUUGAAUGUGAUUGGAAUUGAGAUUGAAUGGUUAAA